rnacentral:rRNA from 1 species
UACGAAGGGGGCUAGCGUUGUUCGGAUUUACUGGGCGUAAAGCGCACGUAGGCGGAUCGUUAAGUCGGGGGUGAUAUCCUGGAGCUCAACUCCAGAACUGCCUUCGAUACUGGCGAUCUUGAGUCCGGAAGAGGUGAGUGGAACUCCUAGUGUAGAGGUGGAAUUCGUAGAUAUUAGGAAGAACACCAGUGGCGAAGGCGGCUCACUGGUCCGGUACUGACGCUGAGGUGCGAAAGCGUGGGGAGCAAACAGG